UUCUACGACCAUACCACCCGAAAAACACCGGUUCUCGUCUGAUCACCGAAGUUAAGCCUGGUCGGGCGAAGUUAGUACUUGGAUGGGUGACCGCCUGGGAAUAAUUCGUGUUGUAGACU
rnacentral:rRNA from 1 species